AUAUUCCAGAAUUUUUUGAAAAAGACAUUAUUUAUCGGAUAAAUGUUGUAGUUUAUAAUUGCAAAGUGGAUAUUGAAAUAGAAUUAGCCAGAGAUGUAGAUAAUCUAUUCGUCUCUGAAUUAGCCGAUAAUUAGGUUAAAUGAAUCCGACAACAUCCGGUAUAUUUUUCGACCUACUUCACGAGCAUAAUUAUCAGCCUGUUAAGCUCAUAAGGGAAAUAAAAGAUUAUUUACUUUAAUAUUCACUUGGAAAGGCUGGUACAUGUAGCUAGAAAAAAGUACAGUAUAAGAUUAAAGAAAGACUAGAAGAUUAUUACAAACAACAGGUGGACAUGUGUCACUGUCAAGCGAAUGAAGAUAAGCAUCACACUUGGUGGGAAUCUCCAGUUUCCAGAUGUAGUGAUCAUAACUGUAUAGGCACCAUUAACACUUUGGACUAGUUGGAGUAUUUUAGAGGGCUAGUCUGAAUUGAAUAGUAAAGGCCAGUCAUGAACAUUGUUUUGAAGGAAAAUGUUAAAACUCGGAUUUUCCGCUUAACCAAUCAUUACUUUACCUUAUAUUCAGUGCGGUAAUGUAGGAAAUGGUUACUUUCUGGAACGGAGCUGUCAAUUAUUUUUAAUUUUUUAGCUUGUUAGUGUUAUCGUCGGACAGUUGUGAAGUAAAGACAUCGCAGUUUGACUGUAAACUAUACAAGUUGCCUUAAAGAAAGUAUGUCGAAAUCUUAACAGUUAUUGGUUGAUUUUGUAGAAAUUGACCAGAAUUCACCUUUGUUUACACGCAUCGCUUGGACGUCGAAAACGACAUGCAAUGACAUUUCAGUGAAAUUUGGAAACUUGCUCGUAUUUUGGAGCAUUUUGUAGGAUUUCGAUGAAGUAAAAAGUGUUUAUGAUAGGAUACAUUAUUCCUAGAGACAACCACAAAGAUAAAAUAGUGAUCUGGUGUAUUUUUACCGAACAGUUCUUGUUUGUUUUGCAUGAUAUUUUUCUCUCGUUAGGGACCUUUAUUCUUUAUAUAUAUAGUAUUAUGAGCGUAUAUGGGUAAAUGUGGUAUAUAGUGCCUGUGGUUUUAACAUGUAUCUUAGCUUGCCUGGUGUAAUGAUAAGUAAUAAAACCUGAGAAUUGAAACUAUGAGAAUAAAUUGUUGUUAUUAGUCCCCUUCUAUUUUCAUUAAGAGGGGACUAAAGGCUGACCCAUUUCUGUAUGUCAAUGAAAGCUGAAUUUUGCUAUAACUUAAAUGGUACAAAAGUAAGGUUCAUCAUACUGGUAUCUGAUAUAGAACUAUACAGAGAUUAAGCAUGUUAUUAUAAUUUAUGCUCCUGAAAGGGAGAGAAUAUAGUUGCGGUCUUAACCAUCUGUCGGUAUGGACUCAAGUAAUAUUCUGGAUAAAUAUCUGUGUUCAUUACAUACAGACUUGUACUUUUGGGGAAAAAGGUUCCUCAUGGGAGAAAAAUAUGUUUUUAAUGGUGUUUUUGAGAUUUUAGUUGAUAAAGGAAAAAAAACAUAGUCUGUACUUAGGAAGACAUUUGUCCUUCACACUCUUGUCCGAAAUAUGAAUAUAACUAGAUAUGUAUUGAAGGGAUUUUAUGUAAACUUCACAAAGUGAUAGAGACUUUUAAGAGGAAGUGCAAUGUUCAAGAAACAUAACUCUACCUUGCUUCAUGUUUUAAUUAUAUCCCUUAAGUUAAAAAUGCUUAUUCCAAACUAUCAAUGAAUCUACAUCAACUUGAACGACUCGAAUUUUCCAAUGUGUCAAAGAACCAUAACUCCAUUCCUUAGUUUUUAGCUCACCUGUCACAAAGUGACAGGUCAAGCUUUUGUGAUCCCUUUUCGUCCGGCCGUAAACUUUUACUUUAAAUGACAUCUCCUCAUAAACCACUACGCUAAUUUCAUCCAAACUUCACAAGAAUGUUCCUUUGGCUGUCACCUUUAAAAAUUGUGCAAAGAAUUUAAUUCCAUGCUGAACUCUGGUUGCCAUGGGAACCGAAAGAAAAAAACUUUAAAUAUCAUCUUUAAAAAAACCCUUAGAGCUAGAGCUUAGAUAUUUGGCUCGAAACAUCCUUUAGUGAGUGUCUACCAAGUUUUUUAAUUAAAAGCCCUGGGGUCAAAAUUGGCCCCGCCCCAGGGGUCAUUGAUUUUCCCUAUGUGCAUAUAGUAAAAACUUUAUAAAAUCUUCUUUUAAAGAACCCAUAGAGCUAGAGCUAAGAUAUUAAGCAUGAAACAUCAUCUAAUGAGUGUUUACCAAGUUUGUUCAAAUAAAAGGCCCGGGGUCAAAAUUGGUCCUGCCCCAGGGGGUCAUUAAUUUUCUUUAAAUGCAUAUAGUAAAAACUUUAAAAAAUCUUCUUUUAAGGAACUAAAAGAGCUAGAGCUAAGAUAUUUAGCAUGAAAUAUCUUCUAGUGAGUGUUUACAAAGAUUGUUAAAAUAAAAGCCCUGGGGUCAAAAUUGGUCCUGCCCCAGGGGGUCAUUAAUUUUCUUUAAAUGCAAAUAGUAAAAACUUAAAAAUCUUCUUUUAAAGAACCCAAAGAGCUAGAGCUAAGAUAUUUAGCAUGAACAUCUUCUAAUGAGUGUCUACCAAGUUUGUUCAAAUAAAAGCCCUGGGGUCAAAAUUGGCCCUGCCCCAGGGGAUCAUUGAUUUUCCCUAUAUGCAUAUAGUAAAAACUUCAAAAAUCUUUUUUAAAGAACCCAAAUAGCUAGAGUUUAUAUUAUAAGUGGAAACAUCUUCUAGUGAGUGUCUACAAAGUUUGUUCAAAUAAAAGCCCUGGGGUUAAAACUGGCCCUGCUCCAGGGUUGUCAUUGUUUUUAACAGUAUGUGUUAGUAAAAACUUAAAAAAUCUUCUUUAAAAAAACCCAAUAAACUAGAGCUUUGAUGUUUAGCAUGAAUCAUCUUCUUAUGGAUGUCUUCCAAGUUUGUUCAAAUAAAAGCCCUUGGGUUAAAACUGGCCCUGCAGGGUGGGGGGGUAUAUACAGGUGAGCAACCUCAGAGCCAUCAUGGCCCUCUUAUUUAAUUAUCUACCUUUAUUAUACAUGUACUUAAUUAUGCUUGUCCAGAGAAAUAGUUUUAAUACUGGAAAAGAGUUGAUGAAAUUUGAUUAAACUUUUACACAGCGAAAAUAAUCAAGUGAAAGAAAGUGUUUUUUCAAAAGAACCCUAAUUUUUGUGUCGCCUUGAAAAGGUGACAUAAUAGGGGUUACUUUUGUCGGCGGCGUCUGUGUUGUUGUCGGCGUCCCCUAAAGCUUGUCCAGAGCAUAACUCAGUCACUAUAAGUCUGAUUGACUUCAAACUUGGUAUGCAUGCUUCUUUUAAUAACCCGAAGUGCAGUGCACAAGGACCGGUACUCUGCAGUUCUUAUUUUUUGAGUUAUUGCCCUUUGUUAAUUUUCAUACUUUAAUUUUGUCCGGGCCAUUUCUCUUCAACUAAAAAAGCUAUGGACUUGAUACUUCAUAGGAUGAUAGAUCUCAUUAAGAAGAAGUGCAGUGCACAAGAACCAGUACUCUGUACUUCCUAAUUUUUGAGUUAUUGCCCUUUUUUAAUUUUCAUAUUUUAUUUUUGUCCGGGCCAUUUCUC